CCAAAUGGAAAGUGAAUUAGAUUUUUCACGAUUUGUUUGUGAGAUUAGGUUGGCUAUGAUGAUGUAAAUAACGAAAACUUGAAAAUUGUCUUCAAUUAAACGUAUAUUUCGGAUGUUGUUGUGUCAUCCAUCUUCAGCUAGAACAACAUUAAAAUUAUCUUUAGGCUAAAACUAGAUAACAUAAAAAUCGCGCAAAACAAAUUACCAUAAAUUGGAAGUGAUUCCAAUCACAUUAACAUUCUAAUUUGAAAACUUGGAACUAAUUUCUCGUGAAAUACUAACACGAUCGUCAAAAUUGAAACUUGUUUCGAUGACAGAAACGACAUGACGUAAACUGAACGACUAACCAACAUGAAGUUGUUUGAACGAAUUCAUCACAUUAGUGUAGGUCGCAUGUAGCAUGUUCAACGAUUUGAAAUUUUGAGCCGAAUCGCCGUAAAGCCAAAUGUAGCAUGCUUCUAGCGUUUUUCGCUUGUACCAAUCUGAUUCGACGUCCAAUAUCUUCAAUUCUUUCUCAUCAAAAUCUGGUUCGUGAGUCGCGUUGUCUAGACAAUGUCGGACUAGAGCAGUUUUCGAGCCAGGGUUGAACCUUGAUCUAAAAUCAUAGUCAUGCUCCUUCGUUCGAGUACAUAGGCAUCUUUUCGUCUCACCUAUGUAAAACGUGGAACACUUUUUGCAUUUGAUUCUGUAUACGAUUCCUUUCCGAAUCAUCUUCGGAGUUUUCGUUUUCAUGUUCGAAUAAAUGUUCCGUAGUCUCGUUAUCGUUUUCGGUGCUGAUCUUAACCGAGUAUUGACCUUCUUCAGUUGUCGUUGAAUUUUAUGUGUCAAUUCAGGAACAUGGAUGACACAACAACAUCCGAAAUAUACGUUUAAUUGAAGACAAUUUUCAAGUUUUCGUUAUUUACAUCAUCAUAGCCAACCUAAUCUCACAAACAAAUCG